UCUCCGUUGGUGAACCAGCGGAGGGAUCAUUACAGGACUCGCAAGACUCCUACAAUCCUGUGAACUUAACUAUAAGCACGUUGCUUCGGCGGGUGUCUCGGAGGGGGUUCUCCCUCCCCGAGACGCUAAACCCGCCGGCAGCCUACUAUACUCUGUCUCUUUGCGUUGGCAUCUCGAGUACAAUCAAACAAGUUAAAACUUUCAACAACGGAUCUCUUGGUCCUG
rnacentral:misc_RNA from 1 species